rnacentral:rRNA from 1 species
ACACAUGCAAGUCGAGGGGAAACGACAUCGAAAGCUUGCUUUUGAUGGGCGUCGACCGGCGCACGGGUGAGUAACGCGUAUCCAACCUGCCCACCACUUGGGGAUAACCUUGCGAAAGUAAGACUAAUACCCAAUGAUAUCUCUAGAAGACAUCUGAAAGAGAUUAAAGAUUUACCGGUGAUGGAUGGGGAUGCGUCUGAUUAGCUUGUUGGCGGGGUAACGGCCCACCAAGGCAACGAUCAGUAGGGGUUCUGAGAGGAAGGUCCCCCACAUUGGAACUGAGACACGGUCCAAACUCCUACGGGAGGCAGCAGUGAGGAAUAUUGGUCAAUGGACGAGAGUCUGAACCAGCCAAGUAGCGUGCAGGAUGACGGCCCUAUGGGUUGUAAACUGCUUUUAUAAGGGAAUAAAGUGAGUCUCGUGAGACUUUUUGCAUGUACCUUAUGAAUAAGGACCGGCUAAUUCCGUGCCAGCAGCCGCGGUAAUACGGAAGGUCCGGGCGUUAUCCGGAUUUAUUGGGUUUAAAGGGAGCGUAGGCCGGAGAUUAAGCGUGUUGUGAAAUGUAGAUGCUCAACAUCUGCACUGCAGCGCGAACUGGUUUCCUUGAGUACGCACAAAGUGGGCGGAAUUCGUGGUGUAGCGGUGAAAUGCUUAGAUACCACGAAGAACUCCGAUUGCGAAGGCAGCUCACUGGAGCGCAACUGACGCUGAAGCUCGAAAGUGCGGGUAUCGAACAGGAUUAGAUACCCUGGUAGUCCGCACGGUAAACGAUGGAUGCCCGCUGUUGGUCUGAAUAGGUCAGCGGCCAAGCGAAA